CCGGGCCCGGGCGGGGUCUGGGUCUGGCUGGGGAGGGUGAAGUCGGUGAACUCGAACUCGGAGCCCUGCGUGUCGGCGCCGAGCAGCUCGGCCUCCUCGGUGUCCAGGAAGGAUAAAGCCCGGCCUGAAUCAACGUGUUCCAGAUCUGCAGCUGCUGGGCUGAAAAGAUGGAGACUGGAAAACAUCCCUGUCCUGGGAAUAUUGUGCAGCAAAAGGAGGGGAAAAAACAAAUCCAGAGAAUCCACUUCUGCAGAGAGACUGAAUUAAUCUCGGUUUUGAGUAGAAUAAACUGUUCAGACCAAAGAGAACGGGAAGAAAGCGUGAAAUAACAUUUGAGGAUGAAAGUGGAACCGGAGUGGGGUGGAAUAAAAAAAAACCAGCACAAAGCCAGGUGGCUGCUCGCUACAAACACUUUUAUUUAUUAAUAAACACAACACACUCCCGACAUUUGGCUGCUUGACAGAAUCCUCAAAAGCCUUGGCAAGGGAUCAAAGCUGUGCCGGGUUCCCGUCCCUGCCCAGGAGUGACGGUGCGAGCUGGAAAUGUCCCUGCCUGCCAGCACAGGGGACGUGUGGAUGUGUCCCCUCAGGGUGGCGUUGGGGACACUCUGCUGCUGCUGUCUGAGGUGCUGAAGCUGCACGGCCUGCCUGAGCUGGGAACCCAAACUGGUUUGAACUGGGAGUGGGGAUUCCCGUUAUACCAGCCCAGGGCACAGACAUGUGAAUUUCGGGAUAACUUUGCUCCAUUGCAGCGCUGCAAGCUCAGCGGGCGCCUGGAAGCCUUUCGGGAUAGAAUGGAUGCCCAGGCAGGCUGCAGAGCUCCCAGGCUGUGAUUUUGGGGUGAUUUGUGCAGGUUUUCUCCCUCAGAUCCGGGCUGCUGCAGAGGAGAGAGAGGCUGUGGCUCACCGGGCCUGUGUGCUGAGCAGCCGGUGUGGAAUUUAAACGGGCAAAACCUGGCACAGUUCCCUUCAGACCGCGCUGAGCUCCCCGUGUCCCUGCAGCCCAGCAGCUGGGAUUCACCAGAAGAGCAGCAACACGGGUGAAUUAAUAUUUAAAGUGUGUUUUGUGCUUGCAGGAGCGGCAGGGCGCAGGUGACUGUCCCCAGGUGCUGCUGAGCAGUGCCAAGCCCAGCAGCUGGAGGGAAAUGCCACUUUAUAAUCACUUUAUUCCCCCCCUGCUCUGGUCAUUUUUUUUUUUAUUUUAAAAAUCACAGAAUUCCAGGCUGGUUUGGGUGGAAAAGGACCUUAAAUCCCAUCCAUUCCCAUGGCAGGGACACCUCCAGGUUGUUCCAACCCCAUCCAGGCUGUCCUCGGGCACUUCAGGGAUGGGGAAUCCACACCAAUGUCUUCCAGUGCCUUUCAUAAUGAAGAAUUCCAUCCAAAUUCUCCAUUUUCUUCAUUUUCUGUCUCUGUUUAUUGCCCUUUUCUUUCCUUUUCCCUUAAAACCAAUCCUAAAUGAAAAUGCCUUAAAAUUUUACUUAUUUCACCUUUAUUGCCUUUUUCUUUCCUUUUUCCUUAAAACUAAACGAAAAUGCUUUAAAAUUUUAACUUAUUUAUGAAUACCAAUAAAUGAAAAAACCAACCGAGUGGUAUUCAAUUUAUUGAAUGCCAGUAAAUGAAAGAACAACAACGAAAAAUGUUUUUAAACAGAUUUUUUUGGUCUAUACGCUGACAAAAUUCCAAUUUAUUUUUUUAAGGGUUAAAUCCAUAGGGAAAAAAAUUGGGAUUGAGUUUUUCCGGUGCAGCUGGGCCAUUUCUCCUGAGCUGCCACGAGAGGGACACAGAAGGAAAGCAAAAGGAGCUGGGAAGGGAAGGAUCCAAGGAGCAGCUCGAGGUUUAAUUGGGGAUAAAUAUUCCCAGAACAGAUCACGGGGAUGUAACACCAUGAAGGAAAAGGAGGAGAAGAUUUUGGGCAAAAUCCAGGGAUUUUGAAUGAAGACAAUUCUCAGAAAUUAAUGGAUUCUGUGUAUUUCGGGAGGGAGCCGGCCAGGGCUGCCCUCGGGCCGUGAAUGGUCCCAGUGUGGUUUUGUGAGGCCUUCCCAGAAGUGAGGAGCUCCUUGGAAACGAGCCCGGGAACCAUCAAACAGCCUGGGAGGAGAUCAAGGGGGCUGUGGGCUCCCAGGCUGUCCCACAGCCCCAGAGGGGAACAUUCCCACUGCAGCGUGGCCCCAGCGCCCUGGAGCAGAGCGAGCAGAGCAAACAGAGAAAACAGAGGCACCCUUGAACUCUGCCUGUGCCCCUACGUGCUGGGAAGGCUUCCCUUAUCCCCCAGUGUUCAGGGAUAUUCCAGCUGCUCCUUUCCCUU